GUGGGGAAUUUUGGACAAUGGGCGCAAGCCUGAUCCAGCAAUGCCGCGUGCAGGAAGAAGGCCCUCAGGGUUGUAAACGGCUUUUGACGGUGAAGAACCGACAGGAUGCGUCCUGUUUUGACGGUAGCCGUUGAAUAAGCACCGGCUAACUCCGUGCCAGCAGCCGCGGUAAUACGGAGGGUGCAAGCGUUAAUCGGAAUUACUGGGCGUAAAGCGUGCGCAGGCGGUUUUGUAAGACAGGCGUGAAAUCCCCGGGCUCAACCUGGGAAUGGCGCUUGUGACUGCAAGGCUGGAGUGCAGCAGAGGGGGAUGGAAUUCCGCGUGUAGCAGUGAAAUGCGUAGAUAUGCGGAGGAACACCGAUGGCGAAGGCAAUCCCCUGGGCCUGCACUGACGCUCAUGCACGAAAGCGUGGGGAGCAAACAGGAUUAGAUACCCGAGUAGUCC
rnacentral:rRNA from 1 species